GUCAGAGAGGCCUAGAACACGCUUAACCCCCAGUCUACCAUCGUAGCCUGAUGGCUUAUGCGGCCUUUUUGUGUGCCCUUUUAAAUUCUAGCUUACCAGCCACAUGACUUGGGCUUCUUCAGGCCUAAAAUAGGCCUCUGGCCACGUCUCCAAAGGAGUGCCCCGAAGCACACCGAGGGCUGGCUGCCAAGCUGGCCGAGUGAGACAAGUAUUUGAAGUCCAGGAGCAAGAUCAGCCUCCGAUGCCUGUCCUGCUCAAAACCUUUAAUGGAACUGAGAGGAACUCAACCAUGGCUUCUCCUUUGUGCCACUAAAACAGGUAAGAAAGGCCUUUCACCUGACUACAGAGAGAGAGC
rnacentral:lncRNA from 1 species